GACGAACGCUGGCGGCGUGCUUAACACAUGCAAGUCGAACGGAAAGGCCCUGCUUUUGUGGGGUGCUCGAGUGGCGAACGGGUGAGUAAAACGUGAGUAACCUGCCCUUGACUUUGGGAUAACUUCAGGAAACUGGGGCUAAUACCGGAUAGGAGCUCCUGCUGCAUGGUGGGGGUUGGAAAGUUUCGGCGGUUGGGGAUGGACUCGCGGCUUAUCAGCUUGUUGGUGGGGUAGUGGCUUACCAAGGCUUUGACGGGUAGCCGGCCUGAGAGGGUGACCGGCCACAUUGGGACUGAGAUACGGCCCAGACGCCUACGUGAGGCAGCAGUGGGGAAUAUUGCACAAUGGGCGGAAGUCGGAUGCAGCAACGCCGCGUGCGGGAUGACGGCCUGCGGGUUGUAAACCGCUUUCGCCUGUGACGAAGCGUGAGUGACGGUAAUGGGUAAAGAAGCACCGGCUAACUACGUG
rnacentral:rRNA from 1 species